rnacentral:lncRNA from 1 species
UUUGUUUACAAUAAAUGUGAGAUUUUUUUUAUAAUUAUUAUAAGGACAAGUCAAAGUGCUGUUAGAUGUGACUUGAAAUUGAUUAUCAGCUCAAGUUCGGAUUUUCGACUCGCCGACAGUUUCGUAGUGUGACCAAAUUAAAAAGCAAUUUUGUGAAGGAAAAUGAAUGUCUGUGGUGGGUAGCGGAGGGUUUGGGCCGACAGACCCGAGUCCGAAACCCGUUAUGAGUUUUCUUUUUCGUUUUUGCCCUAGAGGCGUGAGAUCGUGGUCGGUUGUAAUCAUCUGAAUAUUGUAUUCCCUUUUUGUUUUGAUAGUGAAGUUCUCUCCUCCCUCGCCCGUGAUUUUUUUCUGUAAAAAAUUUUCAUGUAAAUCUGUGUAUUCUUUUUAUUUUCUGCUUGAGGUUUGAUUAUUUCAUGUUGCCAUUUUUUUUUCAUUUGUGCGUUUGUCCUAACAAGUGCAAUAUUUGGAAAAAGAAAAAAAAAAAACAUCAGUGCUAAA